rnacentral:rRNA from 1 species
CAUGCCGCGUGCAGGAAGACUGCCCUAUGGGUUGUAAACUGCUUUUAUACGGGAAGAAACCCAUCUACGUGUAGAUGGCUGACGGUACCGUAAGAAUAAGCAUCGGCUAACUCCGUGCCAGCAGCCGCGGUAAUACGGAGGAUGCAAGCGUUAUCCGGAAUCAUUGGGUUUAAAGGGUCCGUAGGUGGAUUAGUAAGUCAGAGGUGAAAGCCUGCAGCUCAACUGUAGAACUGCCUUUGAUACUGCUAGUCUUGAAUUAUUGUGAAGUGGUUAGAAUAUGUAGUGUAGCGGUGAAAUGCAUAGAUAUUACAUAGAAUACCAAUUGCGAAGGCAGAUCACUAACAAUAUAUUGACACUGAUGGACGAAAGCGUGGGGAGCGAACGGGAUUAGAUACCCCGGUAGUCCACGCCGUAAACGAUGGUCACUAGCUGUUCGGAUUUCGGUCUGAGUGGCUAAGCGAAAGUGAUAAGUGACCCACCUGGGGAGUACGUUCGCAAGAAUGAAACUCAAAGGAAUUGACGGGGGCCCGCACAAGCGGUGGAGCAUGUGGUUUAAUUCGAUGAUACGCGAGGAACCUUACCAGGGCUUAAAUGUAGAUUGCAUUAGCUAGAGAUAGCUAUUUCUUCGGACUAUCUACAAGGUGCUGCAUGGUUGUCGUCAGCUCGUGCCGUGAGGUGUCAGGUUAAGUCCUAUAACGAGCGCAACCCCUGUUGUUAGUUGCCAGCGAGUAAUGUCGGGAACUCUAGCAAGACUGCCGGUGCAAACCGUG